rnacentral:rRNA from 1 species
GCAUAUCAAUAAGCGGAGGAAAAGAAACCAACAGGGAUUGCCUCAGUAACGGCGAGUGAAGCGGCAAAAGCUCAAAUUUGAAAUCUGGCUCUUUCAGGGUCCGAGUUGUAAUUUGUAGAAGAUGCUUUGGGUGCGGCUCCGGUUUAAGUUCUUUGGAAUAUUACAUCAUAGAGGGUGAGAAUCCCGUAUGUGACCGGUUGCCUAUCUCGUGUAAAGCUCUUUCAACGAGUCGAGUUGUUUGGGAAUGCAGCUCAAAAUGGGUGGUAUAUUUCAUCUAAAGCUAAAUAUUGGCCAGAGACCGAUAGCGCACAAGUAGAGUGAUCGAAAGAUGAAAAGCACUUUGGAAAGAGAGUUAAACAGUACGUGAAAUUGUUGAAAGGGAAGCGCUUGCAACCAGACUUGCACGCAGUUGAUCAUCCGGGGUUCUCCCCGGGGCACUCUGCUGCGUUCAGGCCAGCAUCGGUUUUGGUGGUUGGAUAAAGGCCUUGGGAAUGUAGCUUCUUUCGGGGAGUGUUAUAGCCCAAGGUGCAAUGCAGCCUACCGGGACCGAGGACCGCGCUUCGGCUAGGAUGCUGGCGUAAUGGUUGCAAGCGGCCCGUCUUGAAACACGGACCAAGGAGUCUAACAUCUAUGCGAGUUUUGGGUG